rnacentral:rRNA from 1 species
UAGCUACAGGCUUAACACAUGCAAGUCGAGGGGCAGCAUGGUCUUAGCUUGCUAAGGCCGAUGGCGACCGGCGCACGGGUGAGUAACACGUAUCCAACCUGCCGUCUACUCUUGGACAGCCUUCUGAAAGGAAGAUUAAUACAAGAUGGCAUCAUGAGUCCGCAUGUUCACAUGAUUAAAGGUAUUCCGGUAGACGAUGGGGAUGCGUUCCAUUAGAUAGUAGGCGGGGUAACGGCCCACCUAGUCUUCGAUGGAUAGGGGUUCUGAGAGGAAGGUCCCCCACAUUGGAACUGAGACACGGUCCAAACUCCUACGGGAGGCAGCAGUGAGGAAUAUUGGUCAAUGGGCGAGAGCCUGAACCAGCCAAGUAGCGUGAAGGAUGACUGCCCUAUGGGUUGUAAACUUCUUUUAUAAAGGAAUAAAGUCGGGUAUGCAUACCCGUUUGCAUGUACUUUAUGAAUAAGGAUCGGCUAACUCCGUGCCAGCAGCCGCGGUAAUACGGAGGAUCCGAGCGUUAUCCGGAUUUAUUGGGUUUAAAGGGAGCGUAGAUGGAUGUUUAAGUCAGUUGUGAAAGUUUGCGGCUCAACCGUAAAAUUGCAGUUGAUACUGGAUAUCUUGAGUGCAGUUGAGGCAGGCGGAAUUCGUGGUGUAGCGGUGAAAUGCUUAGAUAUCACGAAGAACUCCGAUUGCGAAGGCAGCCUGCUAAGCUGCAACUGACAUUGAGGCUCGAAAGUGUGGGUAUCAAACAGGAUUAGAUACCCUGGUAGUCCACACGGUAAACGAUGAAUACUCGCUGUUUGCGAUAUACUGCAAGCGGCCAAGCGAAAGCGUUAAGUAUUCCACCUGGGGAGUACGCCGGCAACGGUGAAACUCAAAGGAAUUGACGGGGGCCCGCACAAGCGGAGGAACAUGUGGUUCAAUUCGAUGAUACGCGAGGAACCUUACCCGGGCUUAAAUUGCAGAUGAAUUACGGUGAAAGCCGUAAGCCGCAAGGCAUCUGUGAAGGUGCUGCAUGGUUGUCGUCAGCUCGUGCCGUGAGGUGUCGGCUUAAGUGCCAUAACGAGCGCAACCCUUGUUGUCAGUUACUAACAGGUUCCGCUGAGGACUCUGACAAGACUGCCAUCGUAAGAUGUGAGGAAGGUGGGGAUGACGUCAAAUCAGCACGGCCCUUACGUCCGGGGCUACACACGUGUUACAAUGGGGGGUACAGAGGGCCGCUACCACGCGAGUGGAUGCCAAUCCCCAAAACCUCUCUCAGUUCGGACUGGAGUCUGCAACCCGACUCCACGAAGCUGGAUUCGCUAGUAAUCGCGCAUCAGCCACGGCGCGGUGAAUACGUUCCCGGGCCUUGUACACACCGCCCGUCAAGCCAUGGGAGCCGGGGGUACCUGAAGUGCGUAACCGCGAGGAGCGCCCUAGGGUAAAACUGGUGACUGGGGCUAAGUCAUAACAA